rnacentral:misc_RNA from 1 species
GAUGAAGAACGUAGCGAAAUGCGAUAAGUAAUGUGAAUUGCAGAAUUCAGUGAAUCAUCGAAUCUUUGAACGCACAUUGCGCCCGCUAGUAUUCUGGCGGGCAUGCCUGUCCGAGCGUCAUUUCAACCCUCAAGCCCCCGGGCUUGGUGUUGGGGAUCGGCGAGCCUCCGCGCCCGCCGUCCCCUAAAUCUAGUGGCGGUCUCGCUGUAGCUUCCUCUGCGUAGUAGCACACCUCGCACUGGGAAACAGCGCGGCCACGCCGUUAAACCCCCAACUUCUGAACGUUUGACCUCGGAUCAGGUAGGAAUACCCGCUGAACUUAAGCAUAUCAAGAAGCGGAGGA